GAUAAGACUAACCAAUAACGCCCUGCCAUGUGGACAGCCAUGCCAGUUGACCUGCAUGUGUGGUCAGCCGCGCAAGCAAGAGGGUGUGCAGAUCGAACCGCUAGGAUUCUUGAUGCCGAUCGAAUGACUAAGGGGUAAUUCAGAAAUGAGCGGCUGGGACUAAAAGCCAGGAAGAUCAAACGGCCAGGAGAACCAACGGUCCCGAUUUGCAGAGUAGAGAGAUCCAACGGCCCAGCUAUCCCUCUCUCUUUAGCAGAUCUGAUUUAUUCUUCUAAGUUACUUUUAGCCAUUCAUCCUUUUUUUUAAGACCCUAAUUGAUUUUCUCCAAAAUGUUAGCCUUAUAUCAUGAAAAUCCUUUCACCAUCAACUCUCUUACCUUGUUGUUGCAUCAUCACAUAUCUAUAUAAACUUUCGGGUUUAGCCUUUUAUGAUGCACGAUCUAACAUUCUACUAAAAGUUUAAAUAUCUUUCCCUUUUUUUUUAACCCCAAUCAUGCAUACAUCCUCCGAAAGAAGGAACUUAAAAAUAUAGAUCUCAAUUUUGGUGUUUGAAACCAAAAUUUGUCUUACCUCCUGUCACCACGUGGAUUUUUACUUGCAAUGUCAGUUAUCUCUCAAGUCCUCUUUGGCAACAUCGUAAUGCAAUGCCAUCAGUUCCUCUUUAGAUCUUUAUACUCUUUUUUCCCAUCUCGAUCAGACUAGCUAUUUUAAGAUCUGACUUCCUCUCUAGAAUCUCGUACUUGUUUGGCUUGCUCUC
rnacentral:lncRNA from 1 species